CUGAGAGGAUGACCAGCCACACUGGAACUGAGACACGGUCCAGACUCCUACGGGAGGCAGCAGUGGGGAAUAUUGCACAAUGGGCGCAAGCCUGAUGCAGCCAUGCCGCGUGUGUGAAGAAGGCCUUCGGGUUGUAAAGCACUUUCAGCGAGGAGGAAGGGUUCNGUGUUAAUAGCACUGUUCAUUGACGUUACUCGCAGAAGAAGCACCGGCUAACUCCGUGCCAGCAGCCGCGGUAAUACGGAGGGUGCAAGCGUUAAUCGGAAUUACUGGGCGUAAAGCGCACGCAGGCGGUUUGUUAAGUCAGAUGUGAAAUCCCCGAGCUUAACUUGGGAACUGCAUUUGAAACUGGCAAGCUAGAGUCUUGUAGAGGGGGGUAGAAUUCCAGGUGUAGCGGUGAAAUGCGUANAGAUCUGGAGGAAUACCGGUGGCGAAGGCGGCCCCCUGGACAAAGACUGACGCUCAGGUGCGAAAAGCGUGGGNAGCAAACAGGAUUANAUACCCUGGUAGUCCAC
rnacentral:rRNA from 1 species